rnacentral:rRNA from 1 species
GAUGAACGCUAGCGGCAGGCUUAAUACAUGCAAGUCGAGGGGCAGCAUGACUGUAGCAAUACAGUUGAUGGCGACCGGCAAACGGGUGCGGAACACGUACAGAACCUUCCUUCGAGCGGGGAAUAGCCCAGAGAAAUUUGGAUUAAUACCCCAUAGUACAACGGAGUGGCAUCACUUUGUUGUUAAAGAUUUAUCACUUGAAGAUUGCUGUGCGGCUGAUUAGGUAGUUGGCGGGGUAACGGCCCACCAAGCCUGCGAUCAGUAACUGGUGUGAGAGCACGACCAGUCACACGGGCACUGAGACACGGGCCCGACUCCUACGGGAGGCAGCAGUAAGGAAUAUUGGUCAAUGGACGAAAGUCUGAACCAGCCAUGCCGCGUGGAGGAUGAAGGUCCUCUGGAUUGUAAACUUCUUUUAUAUGGGACGAAAAAAGGGUUUUCUAACUCGUCUGACGGUACCAUAUGAAUAAGCACCGGCUAACUCCGUGCCAGCAGCCGCCGCGGUAA